GCGGCGGACGGGCGAGUAACGCGUGGGUAACCUACCCUGUACACACGGAUAACAUACCGAAAGGUAUGCUAAUACGGGAUAAUAUAUUUGAGAGGCAUCUCUUAAAUAUCAAAGGUGAGCCAGUACAGGAUGGACCCGCGUCUGAUUAGCUAGUUGGUAAGGUAACGGCUUACCAAGGCGACGAUCAGUAGCCGACCUGAGAGGGUGAUCGGCCACAUUGGAACUGAGACACGGUCCAAACUCCUACGGGAGGCAGCAGUGGGGAAUAUUGCACAAUGGGCGAAAGCCUGAUGCAGCAACGCCGCGUGAGUGAUGAAGGCCUUCGGGUCGUAAAACUCUGUCCUCAAGGAAGAUAAUGACGGUACUUGAGGAGGAAGCCCCGGCUAACUACGUGCCAGCAGCCGCGGUAAUACGUAGGGGGCUAGCGUUAUCCGGAUUUACUGGGCGUAAAGGGUGCGUAGGCGGUCUUUCAAGUCAGGAGUGAAAGGCUACGGCUCAACCGUAGUAAGCUCUUGAAACUGGGAGACUUGAGUGCAGGAGAGGAGAGUGGAAUUCCUAGUGUAGCGGUGAAAUGCGUAGAUAUUAGGAGGAACACCAGUUGCGAAGGCGGCUCUCUGGACUG
rnacentral:rRNA from 1 species